rnacentral:sRNA from 2 species
UCUUUGGCUUUCUAGGGUUCCGUACAUUCAGUAGUCUGGUCCGAGAGAAAGCACAUAGCAACAGCUAUGGACACGGAGGGAGAAAAGCCCGGGAGGU